UUCUUCUUCUUCGGGCCGUACCCUAGCCCCAAGCCGCCGCCGUCUCUUGUGCCGAUCUCCUCCGCCCUCGGUGGCUAUGGAAGGGUGUUGGCGGUGGAGGGAAAGCAAAGGCACGGCGGUGGUCACGGUGGUCGUGGUGGCGCGACGGUGGUGGCAGUGGAGCAAUCAUGGCCUAGGGAGGCUGCUGGAGUAGCUGGAGGUGGGAGGAGCAUGCUCGGCUACCGAUUGGCUGAUUUGACAAGUCCAGAAGGACCAAAAUGUAAAAGACACAAAAUAUUUAGGGUAAAAAUGUAAUUUUAGGAAAAUAUGAGGCCAAAAUGUAAUUUUUAGAAAGUUUAGGGGCCCGAAUAUAAUUUACAAAAUAUUAGGGGUCGAGAUGCAAAUUUAGAAAAUGUUAGGGGGUUAAAAUGUAAAUUUGGAAAAGUUUAGGGGCAAAAAUAUAAUUUAUAUUUUUUGUA